ACAUGCAGUCGAGGGGCAGCAUCAUCAAAGCUUGCUUUGAUGGAUGGCGACCGGCGCACGGGUGAGUAACACGUAUCCAACCUGCCGACAACACUGGGAUAGCCUUUCGAAAGAAAGAUUAAUACCGGAUGGCAUAGUUUUCCCGCAUGGGAUGAUUAUUAAAGAAUUUCGGUUGUCGAUGGGGAUGCGUUCCAUUAGGCAGUUGGCGGGGUAACGGCCCACCAAACCAACGAUGGAUAGGGGUUCUGAGAGGAAGGUCCCCCACAUUGGAACUGAGACACGGUCCAAACUCCUACGGGAGGCAGCAGUGAGGAAUAUUGGUCAAUGGACGAGAGUCUGAACCAGCCAAGUAGCGUGAAGGAUGACUGCCCUAUGGGUUGUAAACUUCUUUUAUACGGGAAUAAAGUUAGCCACGUGUGGCUUUUUGUAUGUACCGUAUGAAUAAGGAUCGGCUAACUCCGUGCCAGCAGCCGCGGUAAUACGGAGGAUCCGAGCGUUAUCCGGAUUUAUUGGGUUUAAAGGGAGCGUAGGCGGGUUGUUAAGUCAGUUGUGAAAGUUUGCGGCUCAACCGUAAAAUUGCAGUUGAUACUGGCGACCUUGAGUGCAACAGAGGUAGGCGGAAUUCGUGGUGUAGCGGUGAAAUGCUUAGAUAUCACGAAGAACUCCGAUUGCGAAGGCAGCUUACUGGAUUGUAACUGACGCUGAUGCUCGAAAGUGUGGGUAUCAAACAGGAUUAGAUACCCUGGUAGUCCACACAGUAAACGAUGAAUACUCGCUGUUGGCGAUAUACAGUCAGCGGCCAAGCGAAAGCAUUAAGUAUUCCACCUGGGGAGUACGCCGGCACGGUGAAACUCAGAGGAAUUGACGGGGGCCCGCACAAGCGGAGGAACAUGUGGUUUAAUUCGAUGAU
rnacentral:rRNA from 1 species